AUUGAACGCUGGCGGCAUGCCCUACACAUGCAAGUCGAACGGUAACAGGUCCUCGGAUGCUGACGAGUGGCGAACGAGUGAGUAAUACAUCGGAACGCGCCUAGUAGUGGGGGAUAACUACUCGAAAGAGUGGCUAAUACCGCAUGAGAUCUACGGAUGAAAGAAGGGGAUCGCCAGAGCUUGCUCUACCAGAGCGGCCGAUGGCUGAUUAGGUAGUUGGGGGGAUAAAAGCUUACCAAGCCGACGAUCUGUAGCUGGUCUGAGAGGACGAUCAGCCACACUGGGACUGAGACACGGCCCAGACUCCUACGGGAGGCAGCCGUGGGGAAUUUUGGACAAUGGGCGCAAGCCUGAUCCAGCAAUGCCGCGUGCAGGAUGAAGGCCUUCGGGUUGUAAACUGCUUUUGUACGGAACGAAAAGUCCCGGGUUAAUACCCUGGGGUCAUGACGGUACCGUAAGAAUAAGCACCGGCUAACUACGUGCCAGCCGCCGCCGUAA
rnacentral:rRNA from 1 species